GGGUAAUAGAUUUGUCCAGUUGAGGGUUGUGUAUGUGGGGAGAGGUUAUAGAUUUGUCCAGUUGAGGGUUGUGUGUGUAUGUGGGGUGGGGUUAUAGAUUUGUCCAGUUGAGGGUUGUGUGUGUAUGUGGGGAGAGGUUAUAGAUUUGUCCAGUAGAGGGUUGUGUGUGUAUGUGGGGUGGGGUUAUAGAUUUGUCCAGGUGAGGGUUGUGUGUAUGUGGGGAGAGGUUAUAGAUUUGUCCAAUUGAGGGUUGUGUGUGUAUGUGGGGAGGGGUUAUAGAUUUGUCCAGUUGAGGGUUGUGUGUGUAUGUGGGGAGGGGUUAUAGAUUUGUCCAGUUGAGGGUUGUGUGUAUGUGGGGAGAGGUUAUAGAUUUGUCCAGUUGAGGGUUGUGUGUAUGUGGGGAGGGGUUAUAGAUUUGUCCAGUUGAGGGUUGUGUGUAUGUAUGUGGGGAGGGGUUAUAGAUUUGUCCAGUUGAGGGUUGUGUGUGUAUGUGGGGAGGGGUUAUAGAUUUGUCCAGUUGAGGGUUGUGUGUAUGUGGGGAGGGGUUAUAGAUUUGUCCAGUUGAGGGUUGUGUGUGUGUAUGUG
ensembl:lncRNA